rnacentral:rRNA from 1 species
AGUGGCGCACGGGUGAGUAACGCGUAGAUGAUCUACCCUCCAGUCUGGGACAACUCUUGGAAACGGGAGCUAAUACCGGAUAAAACCUUCGGGUUGAAAGAUUUAUCGCUGGGGGAUGAGUCUGCGUACCAUUAGCUUGUUGGUGGGGUAACGGCCUACCAAGGCUUCGAUCAGUAGCUGGUCUGAGAGGAUGAUCAGCCACACUGGGACUGAGACACGGCCCAGACUCCUACGGGAGGCAGCAGUGGGGAAUUUUCCGCAAUGGGCGAAAGCCUGACGGAGCAACGCCGCGUGAGGGACGAAGGCCUCUGGGCUGUAAACCUCUUUUCUCAAGGAAGAAGAUAUGACGGUACUUGAGGAAUAAGCCACGGCUAAUUCCGUGCCAGCAGCCGCGGUAAUACGGGAGUGGCAAGCGUUAUCCGGAAUUAUUGGGCGUAAAGCGUCCGCAGGCGGCUUUUCAAGUCUGCUGUUAAAGCGUGGAGCUUAACUCCAUCAUGGCAGUGGAAACUGAAAGGCUUGAGUAUGGUAGGGGCAGAGGGAAUUCCCGGUGUAGCGGUGAAAUGCGUAGAUAUCGGGAAGAACACCAGUGGCGAAGGCGCUCUGCUGGGCCAUUACUGACGCUCAUGGACGAAAGCCAGGGGAGCGAAAGGGAUUAGAUACCCCUGUAGUCCUGGCCGUAAACGAUGAACACUAGGUGUCGGGGGAAUCGACCCCUUCGGUGUCGUAGCUAACGCGUUAAGUGUUCCGCCUGGGGAGUACGCACGCAAGUGUGAAACUCAAAGGAAUUGACGGGGGCCCGCACAAGCGGUGGAGUAUGUGGUUUAAUUCGAUGCAACGCGAAGAACCUUACCUGGGUUUGACAUCCCCGGCCGACACUAGAGAUGGUGUUUUCUCUUCGGAGACCGGGUGACAGGUGCUGCAUGGCUGUCGUCAGCUCGUGUCGUGAGAUGUUGGGUUAAGUCCCGCAACGAGCGCAACCCUCACUUUUAGUUGCCAUCAUUAAGUUGGGCACUCUGAAAGAACUGCCAGUGAUAAGCUGGAGGAAGGUGGGGAUGACGUCAAGUCCUCAUGGCCCUUACGUGUUGGGCUACACACGUGCUACAAUGGCAUUUACAAUAGGAAGCAAGAUGGCGACGUCAAGCAAAUCCUAAAAAGAUGCCUCAGUUCGGAUUGUACUCUGCAACUCGAGUACAUGAAGCUGGAAUUACUAGUAAUCGCGGAUCAGCGCGCCGCGGUGAAUACGUUCCCGGGUCUUGUACACACCGCCCGUCACACCAUGGGAGUUGG